rnacentral:rRNA from 3 species
UUGUACACACCGCCCGUCACACCAUGGGAGUGGGCUGCACCAGAAGUAGAUAGCUUAACCUUCGGGAGGGCGUUUACCACGGUGUGGUUCAUGACUGGGGUGAAGUCGUAACAAGGUAGCCCUAGGGGAACCUGGGGCUGGAUCACCUCCUUACUGA